CAAUUAAACCUCUUUUCUUUAUAAAUUAGUCAGUCUUAGGCAUUUCUUUAUAGUAAUGCAAGAAUGGACUAAUACAGUGUCCUUAACACAGACAGCUUCUGGGGUUUCAUCUGAAAUCUCUCCUGCAGGAGUCCAGGGAACACAGAAGCCAGGCAAUUUCCAAGCCAAGGAUUCUGCGACCAGAGCUUAUACUUCGUGGUCAAUACGUAUAAGCUUGGGGAGAGAGUGGAGUGAUGCAGUAGCAGAGCUGCACAUGAGACAGGCAGAAGGAUCGGCAAGUAUCAACUCGGGGACCUGCUAGCCAAACGUGGCACAGUCGAGCGCUCUCUAUUUGUUCCUUCACUUUCCAGUUCUGUGGAGCUGUCUUGCCAAUAAAUAAAAGGAGGAAGAUUAAAGGAGAGAGGAUUUAAAGAGUGUGUGAAGAGCAAUUCAAAGUCUAGCACUGUUUCUGGAAAACAAUUUCAAGUUCAAGCCCAGUGGGGCCACUGCCAUACACAGAAGACAGACAGCACCAUUAGACUGCAUAGUGUUAAAUGAUCGAUUUUUGGACUAUUCAAGCUUUUUAUAUCCAUUAACUCCGAUUAAUUGGAUGGACUUAUCUUCCUUGGUGACUUGAUUUAUCGUGUGAGCCAUUCUGGCAGAAGUUAGACUUCAUGUAACCGCAUAAUGAAUUCCUGUCUAGUAGAUCACUCUAAUAGGCAAAACAUAUCGCAGCUACCCUCUGCCGGUUUCAGAGACUGGGGUCACUAUCAAACUGGUCCCUGGCCCACCUGCUUAAAUGCUGUGGCUCCUAACCACUCUUUGUGACUUUGCUGCAGCUACAGAUAUCAAGAACUCCAGUGGGCCAUGGUACUUCUUGGUCCAUGGCUGAGGGAUGAUGCAAAAGCUACAUCCAUGCAGGAGAUUUCCUUCAUAUUUGGAUAGUUUCAAAGAUAAGAGCAUCUUAUAAUAAAGGAGAAAGAAACUUCAGAAUGUCACAGGCAAAGUCUUAGGAAGUGAAGAUAUAAAGCCAAAGUAGGAGUAAAAUGUUCGUACUUGCCAUGAAGUUAACAUUCUUACUUGGAAAAAGUCAAGGUCAAACAUAAUUCAGAGUUACUUGGCUUUAACGGAAGUGAUUCCGCAAGUCUCCCUUCAGGUUUUAAGACUUAUUAUAAAAAGCAUAAUAAA